UCUAAACUCCAUGUCUCAUUCCCUUUGUAUAAUUCAGAUCUCGUUCCCCAUUUCCCACUCAUCUCUUCUUCUCUCCCAGGCAGCAAUUUUCGGCGGCGGCCACAUAGAUCUCUAGCGGUGGCGGCAGUGUGUCCUAGUAAGUCCCUCUCUUCUCUCCUCUCUCUGCUCUCCCCUCUCCCCUCUCCCCUCUCGUAGCUGCGACUGGUCGCUGCUUGUCGCGGUUGGCCGUGGCAGGCCGCUGCUGUCAUGGUAAGUCCCUCUCUUCUCUCCUCUCUCCGCUCUCCCCUCUCCCCUCUCGUAGCUGCGACUGGCCACUGCUUGCCGUGGCUAGCCGCGGCAGGCCGCUGCUUGCCGCGCCAAGCCGCUGCUUGCCGCGGCAGGCCACUGCUGGCCGCGGGUGGCCGCUUCCUGGCCCUGGCUGGUCACUACUUUACCCCAGUUGGCCGCUGCCUGGCCCCGGCUAGCGGCUGCCACAGAGAUCUCCAGUGGUGGCGGCAGUGUGUCCUGGUCUCAAUUUGCCAUGAGUUCAGUGUGGUUGGAGACACUCGUAUUUUUUUUUUUUAUUGUAAGGUACUAUCUGAUUAAUUGUAAUAGAUUCAAUGUUUACAUAAGAGUUCUUGUAACUUUUUAUGCAUCAAAUUUAUAAUUUACUUUAUCCUAUAUUGGAAUUGAAAUCUAACAUGAUUUUUGUAACUACAGUUUGUUGUGGUGAAAUAGGUUGUAUCAUAUUUAGGAUACUUGUAGUUAUAAUUUGAUGUGGUGAAAUAGGUUGUAUAUCAUGUUUAGGAUUCUUGUAGCUACAAUUUGAUGUGGUGAAAUAGGUUGUAUCAUAUUUAAGAUACUUGUAGUUACAAUUUGAUAUGAUGAAAUAGGUUGUAACAUAUUUAGGAUACUUAUACCUAGUGGAGAGGUGGAGAGAAAGAUGUUGAAAUGUAGGGCUUGCAAGCAUAGUAGUGCUGGCAAGGAUAUCAAUUCCUUUAGUUCUCAAUGCAAUAGUUAUCAAUUCAAACAA